rnacentral:lncRNA from 1 species
UCGAAGCCAUGAACGGCCAGAACCUCGACGGCCGCAACAUCACCGUCAAUGAGGCUCAGUCUCGCGGAUCUGGAGGAGGCGGUGGCGGAGGAGGCUACAGCCGCGGAGGAGGCGGUGGUGGAUACGGAGGCAGUGGCGGGUACGGAGGCGGUGGUCGUCGUGAAGGCGGCGGAGGUGGCUACAGCCGUGGAGGUGGCGGUGGUGGAUAUGGCGGUGGCGGUGGUGGAUAUGGCGGUGGUCGUCGUGAGGGAGGAUACGGAGGUGGUGAGGGUGGCUAUUCCAGGGGUGGGGGUGGAGCUGAGGGCGGCAGCUGGAGAAGUUAAAUUAGGGUUAAGAUAGAGUAUUUGGGGCUCUGGAAUGUGUGAUCUCUCUGGUUAUGUGUUAGGGUUAGGGUUUGGAUCAGGUAGUUGGUUUGUCUGUCUGCGAUGGUGGUGGUGUCGGUGUCUCUUUCUGUUGUCGAUAAUUUUGAUCGAU